GCGACGCGACAGGCAUCCCGAGUCGGUUGGCUUCUACCAGAAAACGAUUAAAGCAGCAAGGUCGCGCGCGGGUGCGACUGCGACACCACUGUGGAUCCGCAGGACAGCUCUACGAGCGUGAAGCGCGUUAUUGUCAUUCCACGUACGAACAUCAGGACAGCCGAAGCUCCCGAAACAAGGGGCGACCUCAUUCAGCAGUGACUCUUCUCCGUAGAAAUCCUAAACUUCUGAGUUCUGCUUGAAAUGGACUAGGGUUACUACCUUCUCAUGGAAAGAUGAAAAAAUCUCGUGGAACAAAACACACCAAGGACGAUUCACGAGACCCGUGGCCGACCUGGAACGUCGAGCAUCGGACGUUCCGUGGCCUAAGUGAAAGGACAACGGGCAUGUGGGAAUGUCGCGAUGGUGGGCGCAAGGAAGUGUAGAAGCUGUCGCUCUCGGAAGUACGGUGGAUUCGCUUAUACCAAUUUCGAGGAUCCGACUUUAGAGUAGAGUCGUUGGAAGAGAGAAAUUCUCAGUUAGAAAUCAUUAGUGUAAUAUUUUUAAAAGUAUUGGUGAUAAGUAACAUCAACGAAAAAUACUUAAGAUUCCUAGCGAUACUUCAAGUAAACACAUGCCGUUUCUCAUCAAUAGUUCAAAAAAAAAUAGUACUAACGAUAUCUAAGUGAGAAUUUCUCUCAUCCAGCCAAUCUACUCUAAAGCCGGAUAGGCAGUUUUGGUGUAAAUUAUAAGAUGUAUCGUGCGAAUACAUUUCAAGUCAGAGAGCGACAGCGUCUGGACUUUUUUGUACGCAUCAUUACGACAUUCCCACGAUCCCGUUGUCCUUCUGCAAUAGGCGACGUAAUGUCCGAUGGCCUUUACCGAGAGUUAGCUUCACGAAUGCCACUGCUCCGCGAAGCGCGUAGUGUCCGGUUAUGCUUAAAGUUUUUGGAAUUUUGUCAAAUUUUAUUGAUUCUGCAAUGAGUUCGACUUCGAAGAAGAGAUGUUCGCUAAUUUACAUCGGCACGAUUUCCAAUUUCUCGCAAUUAGAGGAGGACACUGUCACUCCUCUCAAGGCAUUAUUUACACAUUUCUCCAAUGCAGCUUGCAAAGUAUAUUGUUCCUGAUGAAUAUUUCGUAGAUUUCCAGGCAUGCGAUGGUGUCGCUCAAUCUGGUACUGCACGUCGUGCAAAUAGUACUCGCUGUUGUCGCAGUUGGCGCGUUAACCAGUAACUCCUCCAACAUCAGAACGAGAUUGUCGCUACAAUCCAGCGUCUCAUCCUUAACCGAUCUUUUGCUGGAGAAUAUGGCGGCUCUCUUCUCAUACAGCGCGCUACUGAGACCCUGGUUGACAUAUUUUUCACAAAUUCGAGUAGCUCGCAGUUGCUUUGCAGGACGUUCGACUCUAUCGCCAUUCUAUAAGUUGAAGAAUCUUGAUAUGCAGUUCUUAAGGACGUAUCGACCACCAAUUCAAACAGGGCCUACUGAAUUUCCAUUUUGGGUUACUUCCACAGCGUCUUUCCGCGCACGUGACUUGGUGAAAUCACCUUUUCCCAUCAUUUAGAAAUUUCCUACGAACGUUCUCUCUGACGUCAGUGUCGUUUAAAGAUUUUACGUUGUCUUUCGCUCUCAGGAUCUUUGACUUUGUAAUCGCUCUAAUUGUGAUUUCUCAAUCAAUUUCUGUGCAGCCGUUUCCAGCGUCAAUUUUCUGUUCUUUAUACUAUAUGUACAUGCACUAUUCUUGUCGAACGCUUUUGAAAUCAGGAGGUUGUCAAUAUUUUAUCCAGUGCUUGAAACGUGUCUUAAACCCCCUCGAUUACUUGCAGUUCUUCGCUAUAGCUUUUUAGUACUGUCAAGGCCUCUGGCAGAAAGGAUACAGGACAUUGGCACUGGGUGUAGAAUCUUCGAAAGCAUUUUCCUGCAUAUGUGUCCAACACUUUCAUUAUUACAUUAUUCACUUAUAAAUGACCUGGUUGAUUGUAUAACCUGUUUGUCUUCUGAAUUUAACUUUCUGAUUUAAGCAGCAGAUUCAUACGAACUAAUAUCGAGGCUGCUGAAAUAGUCCGGAUGACAACGAUAUUCUUCAUCGGUUCUGUUUUUAGAAUUAGCACUUGCUUGCUGCUGUAGAAUCGCUAUCCUUAUUGCUUUUAAGCAUAUCAUUUUUUCAUCAACUGUUGCUGGAGGAAUGUCAUCAGGAGACUCGGUCGAGUCUCGCGCCAAGUACAGGCAACCCGCCGUACAUGGCACGGCCCGCCGAACUCUUUACUCGAAGCAUCUCUUGAACAUACCUGUGUUUGGAAUCAAAUAACUUAUGAAGAAGAAUCAAAUAACUUACGUGUGAGAAAAAGUUAUUGAUGCAUUUACUAUAGGAAUCGAUUUACAAAUUAAAAUUGACAUGCCAUUAAACAUUUUCGACAACGCAAUAUAUUUUUUUGAUUAGCGAAAUCACAAUGUGUUUACAUUUUAUAUCUGUAACAAUAUACAAUAGAUUUGAAUGCUUAGAGCUUCUAUAUCUCGUUGAGCAACAAAAACUUGUAAUAUUCCCCCAAAAAAAAAUACUUACGUGUAAAAAACUACUCCAAGUACAGGGGUGCUGUGAAUUCCAGUAACAAAAAAUAUUGAAAUCAUAUUAUUAUUGCCAAGUACUAUACAUAAAUCACUACAUGUUU